GGUAGCGGCCGAAACGGGCUAAGGCGCUGGUUUAAGGCACCAGUCUCUUCGGAGGCGUGGGUUCGAAUCCCACCGCUGCCA